rnacentral:misc_RNA from 1 species
GUAUCAAUUUGGUAUCCAUAAGCCCACCUUAUUCAGUCAAUCUCACAUUGCCAUCCAUCUUCACAGAUUGGGACAAAACAUUGGUUUAGUACUUAUAGUACCGAGAUUCAUUAAUGAUCCUUCCGCAGGUUCACCUACGGAAA